rnacentral:rRNA from 1 species
UACGGAGGGGGCUAGCGUUGUUCGGAAUUACUGGGCGUAAAGCGCACGUAGGCUGCUUUGUAAGUUAGAGGUGAAAGCCCAGGGCUUAACCCUGGAAUUGCCUUUAAGACUGCAUCGCUAGAAUCGUGGAGAGGUGAGUGGAAUUCCGAGUGUAGAGGUGAAAUUCGUAGAUAUUCGGAAGAACACCAGUGGCGAAGGCGACUCACUGGACACGUAUUGACGCUGAGGUGCGAAAGCGUGGGGAGCAAACAGG